rnacentral:ncRNA from 2 species
AGCAGCCGCGGUAAUUCCAGCUCCAAUAGCGUAUAUUAAAGUUGUUGCAGUUAAAAAGCUCGUAGUUGAAUUUCGGGAUUGGCGCAUCGGUCGUGCCUUACGGGGUAUGAACUGGUGCAGUCAAUUUCUCACCUUCUGGAGAACCGCGAUGUCCUUAAUUGGGUGCCGCGGGGAACCAGGACCUUUACUUUGAAAAAAUUAGAGUGUUUAAAGCAGGCAUUUUUGCUUGAAUACAUUAGCAUGGAAUAAUAAAAUAGGACGGCAUGGUUCUAUUUUGUUGGUUUCUAGGACCACCGUAAUGAUUAAUAGGGAUAGUUGGGGGCAUUAGUAUUCAAUUGUCAGAGGUGAAAUUCUUGGAUUUAUUGAAGACUAACUACUGCGAAAGCAUUUGCCAAGGAUGUUUUCAUUAAUCAAGAACGAAAGUUAGGGGAUCGAAGACGAUCAGAUACCGUCGUAGUCUUAACCAUAAACUAUGCCGACUAGGAAUCAGACGAUGUUAAUUUUUUAAUGACUCGUUUGGCACCUUACG